GACGAACGCUGGCGGCGUGCCUAAUACAUGCAAGUCGAACGCUGAAGGAGGAGCUUGCUUCUCUGGAUGAGUUGCGAACGGGUGAGUAACGCGUAGGUAACCUGCCUGGUAGCGGGGGAUAACUAUUGGAAACGAUAGCUAAUACCGCAUAAGAGUAGAUGUUGCAUGACAUUUGCUUAAAAGGUGCAAUUGCAUCACUACCAGAUGGACCUGCGUUGUAUUAGCUAGUUGGUGGGGUAACGGCUCACCAAGGCGACGAUACAUAGCCGACCUGAGAGGGGGAUCGGCCACACUGGGACUGAGACACGGCCCAGACUCCUACGGGAGGCAGCAGUAGGGAAUCUUCGGCAAUGGACGGAAGUCUGACCGAGCAACGCCGCGGGAGUGAAGAAGGGUUUCGGAUCGUAAAGCUCUGUUGUAAGAGAAGAACGAGUGUGAGAGUGGAAAGUUCACACUGUGACGGUAUCUUACCAGAAAGAGACGGCUAACUACGUG
rnacentral:rRNA from 1 species